UGCUCUGGUGGCCUAGUGGUUAGAAUGUCUGCCUUGUGAGCAGGAGGUCACAGAUUUGAAUCAUGGCAGAGUCA